rnacentral:rRNA from 1 species
UGAGGAAUAUUGGUCAAUGGGCGCUAGCCUGAACCAGCCAUGCCGCGUGCAGGAAGACGGCCCUACGGGUUGUAAACUGCUUUUCUGCGGGAAGAAUCUCCCGGAUUCGCUUCGGGAUUGACGGUACCGCAGGAAUAAGCAUCGGCUAACUCCGUGCCAGCAGCCGCGGUAAUACGGAGGAUGCAAGCGUUAUCCGGAUUCAUUGGGUUUAAAGGGUGCGCAGGCGGUGGAGCAAGUCAGUGGUGAAAGCCCGAAGCUCAACUUCGGGAUUGCCAUUGAAACUGUUUCACUUGAGUUUAGUCGAGGACGGCGGAAUGAGUUGUGUAGCGGUGAAAUGCAUAGAUAUAACUCAGAACACCAAUUGCGAAGGCAGCUGUCUAGACUAAAACUGACGCUGAGGCACGAAAGCGUGGGGAGCGAACA